rnacentral:tRNA from 1 species
GUGAUCGUAACUCAGUUGGUUAGAGUACCAUACUUUUAAUAUGGGAGUCGGGGGUUCGAGCCCCUCCGGUCACA